CAGACGCCGAAGUAUACACUUCGCUACAUCUACAUCUAUCGCUUAUCGGAAAUUCAUGGAAUAAAAGUAAAUGUUAAAGUGUAAUUGAUAAGCCUAUAUUACAGAUAUAAAAGUGAUUUAAAAGUGAUAAAAAAUUGCUUAUUGUUAUCAAAAUGUCUCCAAUUUUGAUUUUUGCUCUAGUUUCUUUAUCUACUUUUGUGGCAUAUAAGACUAUUCCGGUUGGCAGUCGUGUCUCAUUGGUCGUAGCAAAAUACGUUGCCGCGCUUUCCCUGAUGCAGCCUAACUAGGAACUUUUGUGAGCGUCAAUAAGUGAGAAAUAGAGAAAUAAGUGGAGCAAACGAUUUAUUCUUCUUGCCUCUGUGUCGUUCUGGCAAUCAACUUACCAUCGGAGAACAAUAACUUUAGUUUUCAAAAUUAUUUUUUCAACACCGACAGCAAUGAGACAGAAAUAACAGAUGAUAUAAUGUAUGAGAAUAAUGGAUCAAACUCUGUUUGUACCGAGUACUUGAUAUCCUCACAAUUUAAAAUAAAACCUGCUGAAUGUGUGAGAUUGGAACACCGACGCUUUAAGAAUAUAUAUGCGAAAAUUGUUGUUCGUAUGGAAAGCGAUGAAAAGCAUAAUUCAUCCCUUAGAAUCGAAAAAUAUAUGAUUCGUCUCGUUUUUUUUGUAUUCUCCGUGACUAUAAUAUUACCGUUGUUCAUUAGCAGCAUAACAUUGCCGCUUAAAGUUUACAACGGACUACUUGAAAUAGCGAGUGUGUUCACAUCAACGUAAAUGACAAUAUAGAUGCAGGACAACAAUAUUACAACAACAACCAGUUAGAUUAUCCGAAUGGUAUAAUAUCGAAGGAGAAAGUACCAAUAUUUGUCUAAUUAACGAAAAGUUAUAAUUAUAUAUUCAACUGGAUCUUUUGCAAAGAACUGUACCAAAGUAUUCAAUAUAAUAUCUCAAGUGCACAUAUUUGUGUAAACGAAUCGGAUAAUUCCAGCGAACAUCGUAUUAGUGAUGUGGGCGGUCCAAUGGUAGACGGUCUGCAUUUGAAUUUAAUCGGCAUUGCAGCAAGUUUGGAAGGAAGAAUAUCAGGCGUACUCUAUCCUACGUUAUUCCUGAACAUAUUAAAUUAUACAGAAUGGAAAAAUAGCCAAGAAAAGAUAGACUGUGAUACUAGAAGAUGUUAGAAUACCGUUACGAUGACGAAUGUUGAUCAAAUUCAUUCUUGAUGACAUUAUCUAUGAUAAGAUGUAGCUGUUGUGUAAUUUUAAAAUCUAUAAUAUGUAAUAUAUACA